UACGUAGGGGGCAAGCGUUAUCCGGAUUUACUGGGUGUAAAGGGAGCGUAGACGGUUAUGUAAGUCUGGAGUGAAAGCCCGGGGCUCAACUCCGGGACUGCUUUUGAAACUGUGUGACUGGAGUGCAGGAGGGGUAAGCGGAAUUCCUAGUGUAGCGGUGAAAUGCGUAGAUAUUAGGAGGAACACCGGUGGCGAAGGCGGCUUACUGGACUGUAACUGACGUUGAGGCUCGAAGGCGUGGGGAGCAAACAGG
rnacentral:rRNA from 1 species